rnacentral:rRNA from 1 species
UACGGAGGGUGCAAGCGUUAUCCGGAUUCACUGGGUUUAAAGGGUGCGUAGGUGGGCUAGUAAGUCAGUGGUGAAAUCUCCGGGCUUAACCCGGAAACUGCCAUUGAUACUAUUUGUCUUGAAUACUGUGGAGGUCAGCGGAAUAUGUCAUGUAGCGGUGAAAUGCUUAGAUAUGACAUAGAACACCAAUUGCGAAGGCAGCUGGCUAGACAAAUAUUGACACUGAGGCACGAAAGCGUGGGGAGCAAACAGG